rnacentral:lncRNA from 1 species
UGCAUAAGCUAAUGAGGCACACGGAGGACCGACUAUGACAUUUUGCACUGGUCACGGCUGAGGGCAGUGGAGCGCACGGCUCGGUGCCACAGGAAACAACAGGCGAAGGAAAACAUCGAAGUGCCUCACCACUGGCCCUUAAGACUAAAAUGAAGAAAAAAGUAACACAGGUAAAUGUCUUACAGAAUUUGAUACGGCUGCUCUGACUGUAAUGCAAAUUGGUGAUGUGGUAUGAAUCCCUUCUUUUCUAUUAGUGUGUUUUC